AUGCUGGCUGGGAACCAACUUUCAGGAGAGAUCCCAAGAGAGAUAGGAAACUGUACUAGCUUGCUCUGGCUCAACCUUGUCGGAAACCAGAUAUCCGGCAAAAUUCUGCCUGAGAUGGCAAAUAUGGGGAGGAACCCCAGCCCAACCUUUGCCAAGAACCGAAAAAAUCCUUCACUGAUCAAGUCUGCCACGAGUAAAUGUUUUGCUGUUUACCGGUGGGUGCCAUCAAGUUAUCCAGAGCUUGACCUUGUUGAAUCAAUGAUGAUGUCUCAGAAGAACUGCCCGACCAUGUGGAACAGGCUACUCAUGGGGUAUGACAUACUUCCAGUAUCUUCACCAUUACGAACAGCCUUAGGAUAUGUUCAACUGUCAGGAAACCUACUGAGCGGGGAGAUACCCUCCACAAUUAGCGCAAUGAAGAACAUUAGCUUGCUCCUGCUUGAUGGCAACCGGCUCUUUGGACACCUACCAUCAGAAAUUAGUUCGAUGCAACUAGUUGCUCUAAAUUUAUCCAACAAUUUUUUUUCUGGUCAGAUUCCAUUCACGGUGGGUCACCUGAAUUCUCUCGAGAGUCUCGGUUUGUCCUGGAAUAAUUUCUCCAGUGCACUCCCAUCAAGCCUAGGCAAGCUGUCUAAACUAAGUUAUUCAACGUUUUGUACAACCCGCUUCUCUCAGGAGAGGUCCCAAACACUGGGCAACUCUCCACUUUCAAUGAGCAGUCUUUCCUUGGUGAUCCACUCUUAUUUUUCCACUCACCUGCGACUCCCAACUCUCAUUCAAAUGACAACCAGCCCUCUUCGUAUGGUACAGAAAAGCAUCCUACAAAUGAAGAGAUCACUGUGUUAG
rnacentral:rRNA from 1 species